rnacentral:tRNA from 1 species
GGGCCCGUAGUCUAGCGGUUAUGACGUCGCCCUUACACGGCGGAGGCCACCGGUUCGAAUCCGGUCGGGCCCA